rnacentral:rRNA from 1 species
AUGGCAAUAGACCACGCGUCCCCUCUCGCGCUCAAGAGCGGCGGCGCCACGGGAGGAGCGGGGCGCGACGAGGAGGCGGAGAACCAGCGGUGGCCGCCGUGGCUGAAGCCGCUGCUGGCGACGAGCUUCUUCGUGCAAUGCCGGGCGCACGCCGACGCGCACAAGAGCGAGUGCAACAUGUACUGCCUCGACUGCAUCAACGGCGCGCUCUGCUCGCUCUGCCUCGCCCACCACCGCGACCACCACGCCAUCCAGAUUCGGAGGUCGUCGUACCACGACGUGAUCCGGGUGUCGGAGAUACAGAGGGUGCUGGACAUCACCGGCGUGCAGACGUACAUCAUCAACAGCGCGCGCGUGGUGUUCCUCAACGAGCGCCCGCAGCCGAGGCCGGGCAAGGGGGUCACCAACACCUGCGAGGUCUGCGAGCGCAGCCUGCUGGACUCGUUCCGCUUCUGCUCCCUCGGAUGCAAAAUUGUAGGCACGUCCGGCGGCCACCGGCCGAGGAAGAAGCACGGCGGCGUCGAUGGCGGCAAGAAGAAGAAGAGAGCGGCGGUCAAGGAGGCGCGGUCGGACUCGGAGCACUCGUGCACGAGCACCAGCGGCGGGAGCAGCGACAAGAGCAGCGUGGUGCAGAGCUUCUCGCCGUCGACCCCGCCGGCCACCUCCAGCAGCUACCGCGCCGGCAACAAGCGCCGCAAGGGCAUCCCGCACCGGUCGCCGUUCGGCAGCCUCAUCGUGGAGUACUAG